AGGCAGAAAAGCUCUGAAGCCGACAGUGAACGUCUGAAAGAAGCUGCAAAUAUAAAUAAAUCAUUGUCAACUCUUGGCUUGGUCAUAAUGACAUUGGUCGACUUAGCCCAUGGCAAGCCUAGACAUGUUCCCUACAGAGAUUCAAGGCUUACAUUUCUUCUCCAGGAUUCUCUAGGUGGGAACUCAAAAACAAUGAUCAUUGCAAAUGUCAGCCCAUCCAUUUGCUCUGCUAACGAAACACUAAGCACUAUGAAAUUUGCCCAGCGAG